AUUUAGAAGCUGUGCUUGUGUAAGACCCCCUUUCGGGGACCCCCCACUCUAGUCUCGGGAGAGAGAGAGAGCACCCAAAGAAACACGAGAAUCC
rnacentral:pre_miRNA from 7 species